rnacentral:rRNA from 1 species
UUUUAUGGAGAGUUUGAUCCUGGCUCAGGAUGAACGCUGGCGGCGUGCCUAAUACAUGCAAGUCGAGCGAACGGACGAGAAGCUUGCUUCUCUGAUGUUAGCGGCGGACGGGUGAGUAACACGUGGAUAACCUACCUAUAAGACUGGGAUAACUUCGGGAAACCGGAGCUAAUACCGGAUAAUAUUUUGAACCGCAUGGUUCAAAAGUAAAAGACGGUCUUGCUGUCACUUAUAGAUGGAUCCGCGCUGCAUUAGCUAGUUGGUAAGGUAACGGCUUACCAAGGCAACGAUGCAUAGCCGACCUGAGAGGGUGAUCGGCCACACUGGAACUGAGACACGGUCCAGACUCCUACGGGAGGCAGCAGUAGGGAAUCUUCCGCAAUGGGCGAAAGCCUGACGGAGCAACGCCGCGUGAGUGAUGAAGGUCUUCGGAUCGUAAAACUCUGUUAUUAGGGAAGAACAUAUGUGUAAGUAACUGUGCACAUCUUGACGGUACCUAAUCAGAAAGCCACGGCUAACUACGUGCCAGCAGCCGCGGUAAUACGUAGGUGGCAAGCGUUAUCCGGAAUUAUUGGGCGUAAAGCGCGCGUAGGCGGUUUUUUAAGUCUGAUGUGAAAGCCCACGGCUCAAC